rnacentral:rRNA from 1 species
AAAUGAAUUGACGGGGGAGCGUACAACCGGUGGAGCAUGUGGUUUAAUUCGAUACAAAGCGAAAAACCUUACCCAGACUUGACAUGUACCUGCAAAUCCAAGGAUAACUUGGACGCCUUUGAGGGUGGUACACAGGUGAUGCAUGGCUGUCGUCAGCUCGUGUCGUGAGACGUCCACUUAAGUGUGGUAACGAGCGCAACCCUUAUCGUCAGUUACAAGUGUCUGACGAGACUGCCCUUGCCAAGCAAGGGAGGAAGGAGAGGAUGACGUCUAGUCAGCACGUCCCUUACGUCUGGGGCAACACACAUCCUACAAUGGGAUCUACAACGGGUAGCAAUGAGGUAACUCUGAGCCAAUCCUAAUAAAAGAUCCCUCAGUUCAGAUUGAGGGCUGAAACCCGCCCUCAUGAAGUCGGAAUCGGUAGUAAUCGCAAAUCAUCAGGUUGCGGUGAAUACGUUCUCGCUCCUUGCACACACCGCCCGU